rnacentral:lncRNA from 1 species
AAAAAACAUAAAUUUCUCUCAGCUACAUACUUCUUUCAAUAAUUCAAAACCAAAAUAUGGAUCGUUUUGAUCCGGCUCAUCCGUACAACGAUGAUAAUGACGAAGACAAUAUGUUCAUGAGUAUGAUGUACCGGUAUUAUACAAACAGACUACUACCUGCAGAUUCAGCUCCACUACUCAUGCUUGACGUGCAACAUUAAAUAGAGAUCGUGAGAAAGAGCAUAGACGGCUAGUUAACGAUUAUUUUGCGAAAAAUUGUGUCUACCAGCCAAGCGAUUUCAAAAGAAUGUUUCGUUUGCGAAAAAAUAUGUUUGAAAGGAUAGUCAAUGUCAUGAAGCAAGGUAUCGUUUGUUUCAACUUUUAUGAUUUAUAAAAUGUCACUUUUAGAUAAAAUAAAUACAAAUUUUACAUGUUUAAUAUAUAUUUAGUUAACGUUUGUUUCAACUUUUCUAAUUUAUAAAUGUCAUACAAUAAAUACAACUUUUACAUGUUAAAUAUAUAUAUUUAGGUAUGAAUUUUUCCAAUUGAGAUAUGAUGUCAGAGGUAAACAAUGCUUCACACGGUUGCAGAAAUGUGUUGCUACAAUUAAACUUAUGGCAAUGGGGGAGUCGUCCGAUUCUGUUAACGAUUAUAUGAGAAUGUCUGAGAGAACCGCAUGAGAAAGUUUGUAUUUAUUGGCAAGAGGUGUUGUCAAAAAAUUUUAGUAAUGUUAAUUUUUUCGGAAAAUUUCGUUUUAUGUUGCGGUUUAUAUCGGAAAAAAAAAAAUUGGGCUACCAUAAAAAAUUCAGGUUAUUUCUAAAUUGACCAAAAUACAAACUAGCCCAAAUAGUCCAAAAUUUUUAAGCACACACCAAUUAAUUUAUUGAUACAAAGAGAUAUUAAGCCCAAUAGUCUAAUGAAAAAAAUUGGAAGUAAUCACGUAAUUGGUAUUCUUAAUUGGAUUGUCGCUUCGUGUCUUCGUCAAUCGGCUUCUCAAUUGUUGACUUCGAAAUCGUCUUCUGCCCUUGCUGCGAUCGUCGACAUCGGACAUCAAACAUUCUCAAUUGCAAAAUUUCGGCCACCUCCUCGGCUCUUCCAUCACCAAU